AUAAAAUUUUAUUCUUGUUUAAAAAUUUAUUUUUAAAAUAUUUUAUAUGUAAAUUUAAGUGAGUAAGUUUAAUGAAUCUUAAAGAUUGUUUUAUUAUUAAUCUCAGUAUUUAGUAUUAAUUAUUAAAGUAAUUUAGAAUUAGUAAUUGUAAGUUAACAUUGGCUAAAAUCGUGCCAGCCGCCGCGGUUAGACGUGGAAUGUGAAUGAAUUUUUUUAGUAAUAAAGUUAAUUUGAUUUAUAUAAUAUAUAAAUAAUAUUUAAUUUUUGAAGGUGGAAUUUAAUAAGUUAAUAAAAGUUUAAGGAUUAAGAUAUGAGGCUUUGAAAUUUUAAUAAUAAACUAGGAUUAGAUACCCUAUUAUUUAAUAAGUAAAAUUAUGAGUACUUGAGUAGUAGUAGUUAAGGGCUUGAAACUCAAAGGAUUUGGCGGUGUUUUAGUCUCAUCAGAGGAAUUUGUCCUGUAAUUGAUAUUACUCGUUUUAGUUUACUUAAUUUUGAAAUUCAGUUUGUAUACCGCCGUCAUAAGAAUAUUUUUUGAGAAAUUUUUCUUGAGGUUUAAGAAAAAAAUAUGUCAGGUCAAGGUGCAGCUUAUGAUUAAGUAGGAGAUGAAUUACAAUAAAGAAAUUUAUAACGAAUUAAGAUAUGGAAAAUAUUAUGAAGGUGGAUUUGAAAGUAAUAGUGCUUUAUAAUAGCAUUAUGACUUGAGCUCUAAGACAUGUACACAUCGCCCGUCGCUCUCGUUAUAAGAUGAGAUAAGUCGUAACAAAGUAGGUGUACUGGAAAGUGUGCCUAGGAAGAA
rnacentral:rRNA from 1 species